AACGAACGCUGGCGGCAGGCCUAACACAUGCAAGUCGAACGAUAUAGUGGCAGACGGGUGAGUAACGCGUGGGAACGUACCUUUCACUACGGAAUAGCUCUGGGAAACUGGUGGUAAUACCGUAUACGCCCUUAGGGGGAAAGAUUUAUCGGUGAAAGAUCGGCCCGCGUUGGAUUAGCUAGUUGGUGAGGUAAUGGCUCACAAAGGCGACGAUCCAUAGCUGGUCUGAGAGGAUGAUCAGCCACACUGGGACUGAGACACGGCCCAGACUCCUACGGGAGGCAGCAGUGGGGAAUCUUGCACAAUGGGCGAAGGCCUGAUGCAGCCAUGCCGCGUGAAUGAUGAAGGCCUUAGGGUUGUAAAAUUCUUUCGUCAGGGAUGAUAAUGACCGUACCUGAAGAAGAAGCCCCGGCUAACUUCGUGCCAGCAGCCGCGGUAAUACGAAAGGGGCUAGCGUUGUUCGGAAUUACUGGGCGUAAAGCGCACGUAGGCGGACUUUUAAGUCAGGUGUGAAAUCCCGGGGCUCAACCUCGGAACUGCAUUUGAAACUGGAAGUCUGGAGAUCAGGAGAGGUUAGCGGAAUACCGAGUGUAGAGGUGAAAUUCGUAGAUAUUCGGUGGAACACCAGUGGCGAAGGCGGCUAACUGGACUGAUACUGACGCUGAGGUGCGAAAGUGUGGGGAGCCAACAGGAUUAGAUACCCUGGUAGUCCACACCGUAAACGAUGAGAGCUAGUUGUUGGCAGGCAUGCCUGUCGG
rnacentral:rRNA from 1 species